GUGCUUGCUUUGGCAGCACAUAUACUAAAAUUGGAACAAUACAGAGAACAUUAGCACGGCCCCUGUGCAAGGAUGACACGCAAAUUCGUGAAGCAUUCCUUAUUUUU
rnacentral:snRNA from 1 species